rnacentral:rRNA from 1 species
GACGAACGCUGGCGGCGUGCUUAACACAUGCAAGUCGAGCGGUAAGGCCCUUUCGGGGGUACGACGAGCGGCGAACGGGUGAGUAACACGUGGGUGACCUGCCCUCAGCUCUGGGAUAAGCCUGGGAAACCGGGUCUAAUACUGGAUAUGACUCCAUGACGCAUGUUGUGGGGUGGAAAGCCUUGUGCGGCUGAGGAUGGGCCCGCGGCCUAUCAGCUUGUUGGUGGGGUGAGGCCUACCAAGGCGACGACGGGUAGCCGGCCUGAGAGGGCGACCGGCCACACUGGGACUGAGACACGGCCCAGACUCCUACGGGAGGCAGCAGUGGGGAAGUCUUGCGCAAUGGGCGAAAGCCUGACGCAGCGACGCCGCGUGAGGGAUGACGGCCUGGUGUAAC